rnacentral:rRNA from 1 species
GACGAACGCUGGCGGCGUGCUUAACACAUGCAAGUCGAACGGAAAGGCCCUGCUUUUGUGGGGUGCUCGAGUGGCGAACGGGUGAGUAACACGUGAGUAACCUGCCCUUGACUUUGGGAUAACUUCAGGAAACUGGGGCUAAUACCGGAUAGGAGCUCCUGCUGCAUGGUGGGGGUUGGAAAGUUUCGGCGGUUGGGGAUGGACUCGCGGCUUAUCAGCUUGUUGGUGGGGUAGUGGCUUACCAAGGCUUUGACGGGUAGCCGGCCUGAGAGGGUGACCGGCCACAUUGGGACUGAGAUACGGCCCAGACUCCUACGGGAGGCAGAAGUGGGGAAUAUUGCACAAUGGGCGGAAGCCUGGUGCAGCAACGCCGCGUGCGGGAUGACGGCCUUCGGGUUGUAAACCGCUUUCGCCUGUGACGAAGCGUGAGUGACGGUAAUGGGUAAAGAAGCACCGGCUAACUACGUG